rnacentral:rRNA from 1 species
AGUCACUGACGAGUGGCGAACGGGUGAGUAACAUAUCGGAACGUGCCCAGUAAUGGGGGACAACUCGGGGAAACUCGAGCUAAUACCGCAUAAUAUCCACGGAUCAAAGCGGGGGAUCUUCGGACCUCGCGCCGGGAGAGGAGCCUGCGUUAGAUUAGCUAGUUGGUGGGGUAAAGGCCUACCAAGGCGACGAUCUAUAGCUGGUCUGAGAGGACGAUCAGCCACACUGGAACUGAGACACGGUCCAGACUCCUACGGGAGGCAGCAGUCGGGAAUUUUGGGCAAUGGGCGCAAGCCUGACCCAGCCAUGCCGCGUGUGUGAAGAAGGCCUUCGGGUUGUAAAGCACUUUCAGUCGUAAAGAAAGGCUCUGGGUUAAUACCUCAGGGCCAUGACGUUAGCGACAGAAGAAGCACCGGCUAACUCCGUG